rnacentral:rRNA from 1 species
CAGUCGCCGCGGUAAUACGAAGGGUGCAAGCGUUACUCAGAAUUACUGGGCGUAAAGCGUGCGUAGGUGGUGGUUUAAGUCCGUUGUGAAAGCCCUGGGCUCAACCUGGGAAUUGCAGUGGAUACUGGGUCACUAGAGUGUGGUAGAGGAUAGUGGAAUUUCCGGUGUAGCAGUGAAAUGCGUAGAGAUCGGAAGGAACAUCUGUGGCGAAGGCGACUAUCUGGGCCAACACUGACACUGAGGCACGAAAGCGUGGGGAGCAAACAGGAUUAGAUACCCCUGUAGUCCCUGUCUCUUAUAC